AACGAACGCUGGCGGCAGGCUUAACACAUGCAAGUCGAACGCAUCGCAAGAUGAGUGGCAGACGGGUGAGUAACGCGUGGGAACAUACCCUUUUCUACGGAAUAGCUCUGGGAAACUGGAAUUAAUCCCGUAUACGCCCUACGGGGGAAAGGUUUAUCGGGGAAGGAUUGGCCCGCGUUGGAUUAGGUAGUUGGUGGGGUAAAGGCUUACAAAGGGGGCGAUCCAUAGCUGGUCUGAGAGGAUGAUCAGCCACAUUGGGACUGAGACACGGCCCAAACUCCUACGGGAGGCAGCAGUGGGGAAUAUUGGACAAUGGGCACAAGCCUGAUCCAGCCAUGCCGCGUGAGUGAUGAAGGCCUUAGGGUUGUAAAGCUCUUUCACCGAUGAAGAUAAUGACGGUAGUCGGAGAAGAAGCCCCGGCUAACUUCGUGCCAGCAGCCGCCGUAA
rnacentral:rRNA from 1 species